rnacentral:rRNA from 1 species
AGUGAACGCUGGCGGUAGGCCUAACACAUGCAAGUCGAACGGCAGCACAGUAAGAGCUUGCUCUUACGGGUGGCGAGUGGCGGACGGGUGAGGAAUACAUCGGAAUCUACUUUUUCGUGGGGGAUAACGUAGGGAAACUUACGCUAAUACCGCAUACGACCUACGGGUGAAAGCAGGGGAUCUUCGGACCUUGCGCGGUUGAAUGAGCCGAUGUCGGAUUAGCUAGUUGGCGGGGUAAAGGCCCACCAAGGCGACGAUCCGUAGCUGGUCUGAGAGGAUGAUCAGCCACACUGGAACGGAGACACGGUCCAGACUCCUACGGGAGGCAGCAGUGGGGAAUAUUGGACAAUGGGCGCAAGCCUGAUCCAGCCAUACCGCGUGGGUGAAGAAGGCCUUCGGGUUGUAAAGCCCUUUUGUUGGGAAAGAAAAGCAGCAGGUUAAUACCCCGCUGUUCUGACGGUACCCAAAGAAUAAGCACCGGCUAACUUCGUG